rnacentral:ncRNA from 1 species
AAAAAGUUUUAUUCUGGCUUAAAAGUUAGGUCUGGCCUGGUUUUACAUGUGAGUUUUUGCAGGAUUUAGGGUUGCCCUAGAUGGACAAUUUGGGUUUUUAUUUGUUCGCAGUAGGGGGGAUUUAAAUAUCAAUUAAAAUUGGAUUUGGUUAUGGUCAAGAAUAUUGACGGAAUUUGUGCCAGCAGUUGCGGUUAUACAAAUAAUUUAAUUUAACUUUUUCGGCUAUUAGUUAAUUAUUGGGGUUAAAGCUUUAAUUUUAGGUUUAUUAGGUGAAAUUUUAAAUUUAAAAUAAAUGCUAUUUUAGAUGAGGCUAAGAAAUUCUUUAUUUAAACUAGGAUUAGAUACCCUAUUAUUUUGAAUGUAAAUUAUUUUUUGCUUGAUUAGUAUUAGUUAUUUUCUUGAAAAUUAAAGAUUUUGGCGGUAUUUUAGUCUAUUCAGAGGAACCUGUCCUGUAAUCGAUGGUCCACGAGUGUCACUACUUUUUUAAAAUGUUUGUAUAUCGUCGUAGUUUGAACAUUUUUUUAGGAAAUUAAUGUUCAUGAUUUUAUUUAUAAAGGAGAUCAGAUCAAGGUGCAGCUAUAGGGAAGGAGAGAUGGGUUACAAUAAAUUUAUUUUAGGAUUGGGGGGUUUUAAGCUUCCAUAAAUGCGGAUUUGAGGGUAAUUUUAAUUUAAUAGUUAGUAUGAUUUGGCUCUAAAAUAUGCACAUAUCGCCCGUCGCUUUCAUUACAAGGUGAAAUAAGUCGUAACAUAGUAGUCUUACUGGAAGGUGAGUCUAGACAGAC